UAGAUCAAUGGCUUCUCAAGAUGGAGACGAAGGCUCGGCUGUGGCUGGUGCAGGGAAUGUUACCUCAGUUGAUCCUUCGUCUCAAUGUGCUAUACCAACAUCUGAAGCUACUCCGAUAUCUCAAGCUGCUACUCCAACAUCUGAAGUUGCUACUCUAACAUCUCAAGCUACAGCUAGCAGAGCUGGUUCGAAGAGGAAGCGAACAUCGGCAGUAUGGGAUGAGAUGGAAGAGAAAUUCUAAAAUGGACAAUGGAAAGCCGAGUGCAAUCAUUGUCACAAAAAAUUUACUGCAGGACCUAGAGCUGGCACAACUCACUUGCGUUUACAUUUGGAAUCUUGUCCAGAUAAGCAUGCACCCAUUGGCCCAAAGCAACAAAAAUUGAGGUUGACAAAAGGGUGAAGGUGGCAAAGUUAAUAUGGAAAAUAUCAUUUUUGACCAAGAGAAGUCCAGGAGAGAUCUUGCAUUGAUGAUAUGUGAACAUGAGUAUCCUCUAUCUAUUGUGGAUAAGUUUGAGAAGUAUUGGAAGGAUAAGUUUGAGAAGUAUUGGAAGGAUAUCCAUGGUCUUAUGUCCGUUGCAACAGUUCUUGAUCCAAGGUAUAAACUUCAUAUCCUCAAUGCUCUUUAUGGUCCCCUCUAUGGAAGAGAGCAUGCAGCCGCAGAAAUAGAAAAGGUGAAGAAGUUAUUGAUUCAAUUGGUGAAGCAAUAUAAAGAUGAAGUUGGAGGUGAGGAUGCAUGGGAUGCUUCUGUUGUUGAGCAACUUGGAGAAGAAGAUGAAGCCAUGAAACUCUAUGAUCUGUAUUUGUCUAGUCACCCCACUGUCCCUUCUUCUUCAAUCCAUACAGAAUUGGACUUGUAUUUAGAAGAAGCUCGUCUACCUAGAACGCAAGAAUUGGAUAUCAUCAAUUGGUGGAAGGUUAGCGGCUCUAGGUUUCCUACCUUGCAAAAACUUGCUCGUGAUAUAUUGCCUAUUCCCAUAACAUCGGUGGCUUCCGAAUGUGCGUUUAGCACUAGUGGCAGAGUACUCGCACAUCGUAGUAGACUUACUCCUAGUGUGGCUGAAGCUCUCAUGUGCAUGCAAGCUUGGUCUCGUGCAGAUCUGUUAGGUGGUUGGAAUUCUACACUCUUUGCUACUCCCUCCAUCCGGAAAUACUUGUCAUCAAAAUGAAUAAAAGGAGAUGUAUUUAAAUGUAUUUUAGUUCUAGAUACACCCCUUUUUGUCCAUUUUGAUGGCAAGUUUUUUCGGACGAAGGGAGUACAUUUCAGAGUGUUCUCGAGGAUGAAGAUGAAGAGAUGGAUGAGUCUACUUCAAUCACCACCCAAGAGUGAAGAUAUUGCUGCUCUUUGUGCCGGGUUGGAACUUGGAGCUGAUGGCUGCUAUUUGUGCUAGCUGGUGGCUCGUGUUGUGUCUGCUAUCUGCUAUAUCAGCUGGUUCUGCUAGCUGUCGUUUGUGUUGGCUGAUCGUUGCCUCGGAUAUUUUUAUUUGUUACUUGUCGGAUGUUGAAGUGUGUCAUGAACUUGUGAACCUAUAUUAAAGUCCAUCAAUUGUCAAUUUGAAUUGAGAUAAUUUUCAUAUACUCAUAUAUCUGUUAUUGA